AUUGAACGCUGGCGGCAGGCCUAACACAUGCAAGUCGAACGAGGGGCGGACGGGAGAGUAAUGCUUGGGAACCUGGUUUAUGGAGGGGGAUAACUACGGGAAACGGUAGCUAAUACCGCGUACCAUAGGAUGAGCCCAAGUGGGAUUAGGUAGUUGGUGAGGUAAAGGCUCACCAAGCCGACGAUCUAUAGCUGGUCUGAGAGGAUGACCGGCCACACUGGGACUGAGACACGGCCCAGACUCCUACGGGAGGCAGCAGUGGGGAAUCUGGCGCAAUGGGAGCAACCUGACGCAGCCAUGCCGCGUGAGUGAAGAAGGCCUUCGGGUUGUAAAGUUCUGUCGGUAGCGAGGCGUUACCUACAGAAGAAGCACCGGCUAACUCCGUGCCAGCAGCCGCGGUAAUAC
rnacentral:rRNA from 1 species